AACGAACGCUGGCGGCAUGCCUAACACAUGCAAGUCGAACGAGAUCUUCGGGUCUAGUGGCGCACGGGUGCGUAACGCGUGGGAAUCUGCCCUUUGGUUCGGAAUAACAGUUGGAAACGACUGCUAAUACCGGAUGAUGACGAAAGUCCAAAGAUUUAUCGCCAGAGGAUGAGCCCGCGUAGGAUUAGCUAGUUGGUGUGGUAAAGGCGCACCAAGGCGACGAUCCUUAGCUGGUCUGAGAGGAUGAUCAGCCACACUGGGACUGAGACACGGCCCAGACUCCUACGGGAAGCAGCAGUGGUGAAUAUUGAACAAUGGGCGAAAGCCUGAUCCAGCAAUGCCGCGUGGGUGAUGAAGGCCUUAGGGUUGUAAAGCUCUUUUACCCGGGAUGAUAAUGACAGUACCGGGAGAAUAAGCUCCGGCUAACUCCGUGCCAGCCGCCGCAGUAA
rnacentral:rRNA from 1 species